rnacentral:tRNA from 1 species
GCGCCUGUAGCUCAAUAGGAUAGAGCAACGGACUUCUAAUCCGUAGGUUUUGGGUUCGAUUCCCGACAGGCGUG